rnacentral:rRNA from 1 species
UACGUAGGGGGCAAGCGUUGUCCGGAAUUAUUGGGCGUAAAGCGCGCGCAGGCGGCUCUUUAAGUCUGGUGUUUAAUCCCGAGGCUCAACUUCGGGUCGCACUGGAAACUGGAGAGCUUGAGUGCAGAAGAGGAGAGUGGAAUUCCACGUGUAGCGGUGAAAUGCGUAGAGAUGUGGAGGAACACCAGUGGCGAAGGCGACUCUCUGGGCUGUAACUGACGCUGAGGCGCGAAAGCGUGGGGAGCAAACAGGAUUAGAAACCCCUGUAGUCC